CCUACGGGUGGCAGCAGUGGGGAAUAUUGGACAAUGGGCGAAAGCCUGAUCCAGCCAUGCCGCGUGUGUGAAGAAGGCCUUCGGGUUGUAAAGCACUUUCAGUGGGGAAGAAAGCCUUGGGGCUAAUACCCUCGAGGAAGGACAUCACCCACAGAAGAAGCACCGGCUAACUCCGUGCCAGCAGCCGCGGUAAUACGGAGGGUGCGAGCGUUAAUCGGAAUUACUGGGCGUAAAGCGCGCGUAGGCGGUCUGAUAAGCCGGUUGUGAAAGCCCCGGGCUCAACCUGGGAACGGCAUCCGGAACUGUCAGGCUAGAGUGCAGGAGAGGAAGGUAGAAUUCCCGGUGUAGCGGUGAAAUGCGUAGAGAUCGGGAGGAAUACCAGUGGCGAAGGCGGCCUUCUGGACUGACACUGACGCUGAGGUGCGAAAGCGUGGGUAGGAAACAGGAUUAGAUACCCCGGUAGUC
rnacentral:rRNA from 1 species